AAAUUGAAGAGUUUGAUCAUGGCUCAGAUUGAACGCUGGCGGCAGGCCUAACACAUGCAAGUCGAGCGGUAGCACAGAGAGCUUGCUCUCGGGUGACGAGCGGCGGACGGGUGAGUAAUGUCUGGGAAACUGCCUGAUGGAGGGGAUAACUACUGGAAACGGUAGCUAAUACCGCAUAACGUCGCAAGACCAAAGUGGGGGACCUUCGGGCCUCAUGCCAUCAGAUGUGCCCAGAUGGGAUUAGCUAGUAGGUGGGGUAACGGCUCACCUAGGCGACGAUCCCUAGCUGGUCUGAGGAUGACCAGCCACACUGGAACUGAGACACGGUCCAGACUCCUACGGGAGGCAGCAGUGGGGAAUAUUGCACAAUGGGCGCAAGCCUGAUGCAGCCAUGCCGCGUGUGAAGAAGGCCUUCGGGUUGUAAAGCACUUUCAGCGGGGAGGAAGGCGUAAGGUUAAUAACCUCGAUUGACGUUACCCGCAGAAGAAGCACCGGCUAACUCCGUGCCAGCAGCCGCGGUAAUACGGAGGGUGCAAGCGUUAAUCGGAAUUACUGGGCGUAAAGCGCACGCAGGCGGUCUGUCAAGUCGGAUGUGAAAUCCCCGGGCUCAACCUGGGAACUGCAUUCGAAACUGGCAGGCUAGAGUCUUGUAGAGGGGGUAGAAUUCCAGGUGUAGCGGUGAAAUGCGUAGAGAUCUGGAGGAAUACCGGUGGCGAAGGCGGCCCCCUGGACAAAGACUGACGCUCAGGUGCGAAAGCGUGGGGAGCAAACAGGAUUAGAUACCCUGGUAGUCCACGCCGUAAACGAUGUCGAUUUGGAGGUUGUGCCCUUGAGGCGUGGCUUCCGGAGCUAACGCGUUAAAUCGACCGCCUGGGGAGUACGGCCGCAAGGUUAAAACUCAAAUGAAUUGACGGGGCCCGCACAAGCGGUGGAGCAUGUGGUUUAAUUCGAUGCAACGCGAAGAACCUUACCUGGUCUUGACAUCCACAGAACUUUCCAGAGAUGGAUUGGUGCCUUCGGGAACUGUGAGACAGGUGCUGCAUGGCUGUCGUCAGCUCGUGUUGUGAAAUGUUGGGUUAAGUCCCGCAACGAGCGCAACCCUUAUCCUUUGUUGCCAGCGGUCCGGCCGGGAACUCAAAGGAGACUGCCAGUGAUAAACUGGAGGAAGGUGGGGAUGACGUCAAGUCAUCAUGGCCUUACGACCAGGGCUACACACGUGCUACAAUGGCAUAUACAAAGAGAAGCGACCUCGCGAGAGCAAGCGGACCUCAUAAAGUAUGUCGUAGUCCGGAUUGGAGUCUGCAACUCGACUCCAUGAAGUCGGAAUCGCUAGUAAUCGUAGAUCAGAAUGCUACGGUGAAUACGUUCCCGGGCCUUGUACACCGCCCGUCACACCAUGGGAGUGGGUUGCAAAGAAGUAGGUAGCUUAACCUUCGGGAGGGCGCUUACCACUUUGUGAUUCAUGACUGGGGUGAAGUCGUAACAAGGUAACCGUAGGGGAACCUGCGGUUGGAUCACCUCCUUACCUUAAAGAA
rnacentral:rRNA from 1 species